CAGAAAGUGAGGUGAGUUUAGAGUGAAUUAGCGGCUGUCGGCACGAAAACCGAAGCAAAGAAAGUUGUUGAAUUAACAAGGCUGUCGACUGCUGAAAUUUAUCUCCAUACACAAAGAAAUUUCGACUGCUGGGUGAAGGAAUUGGGUUGCUUACUGUUGAAAUCAAUACAUGCGCAAAAAGAGAUAGGAAAGGGAGAAUUACACAAACGGAGUUGUUCGGCUGGAGCAUAAUUGAAAACUUAUUCACGUUCCAUCAAUUCCCGGUGAUGAAUUUCCUAAUAAACUUGUGUUUUUCCUCCAUUAUUAUGUGUAGCUAAAUUUGAUUUUAGGGCGAACAACGUAACUUGUUUAGAACCCUUUAUUUCGUUGAAUUAAGAUUCUAGUACUUUUAUAUUUUAUGUGUUGAUUUUAAUGUUGAUUCUUAAUGCAUUUAAUUACUUGAUCACUAAUUAGAUGAUUUGUGAACAAUAAUUGCGUAGAUAUGCAGAUUAUUUUUUAGACCACAUGUUAAAAAUCCGAUAAAUCGAUAUAACGAGUAGAAAUACAUAUAUUGAUUGCUGCGGUCGUGUGUGAAUUCUUAGAGCCAAUGUUUCGUUUAAUUAAAUUUAAUUUGCAUACAGAUAUGGAAUUGAACUAAUUAAAUAGGCUUUAACGAGAACUCGAGAGGGAUAAGUUGAAUACCAUAGAAAAAUUCGACCGAACACUACUUUAGGUUGUAUGAAUCUUGAUUUAUGAAAUAAAGGUGACCAUUAGGUGAAAUUGGUCCACCCUAAAGUCCUUUAUUAUUUGAAUUCUCACUCAUUUUCUGUUGCAUCCAUUCGCAUUCUUUUAGUAGUUAGAAAAAAAAAAUCGCAUUCAAUCGUUGUUUUCGUUUAUUUUCGUCAAAUAAAAGUUAGGUAUAAUAAAUUAAGCAUUAAAAGUAUAGUUCUCGUGGGAACGAUAAUCCGGACUCAAAAGGUCCACUUUACUACUUGUUACGAUCCGUUCACUUGCGGGAUAAAAUCGAUAACAAGUUUUUGGUGCCGUUGCCGGGGACUAUUUCUUCUAAUCUCAAUUAAUUUUUAUUUUAACAAUUAUUUGAUUUGUUUAUUUUUCUUUUAUUUACAGAAAAUUGUGUUCGUUGUAUGCUCCGUGCCAAAGGCGAACAUCUUGAACCGUUUGAUUCGAAGAUAGAACGUACCUUCAGACGAAGAUGCAAAGAACACAAACAAAAAAAGCAACAUCAAAUGGUUGACAAUCAACAAAUUCCUAGACCUAUUCAGCCGAUUGGACAAAUAGUCGCAAGAGUGGUGGCACCACCGGAACAACAGUAUCAGCGAGGGGAAAUAAAUGAAGGUGAUUUGCCAGUAUCAAUGUUCUUGACACCUAUAGUAGCACACAUGCGCUCCAGUAUCGUGUAUACAGAUUUUGGGGUGAAUAACUUUUAGAUCAUGCCAGAUUGGAUUAACUUGAUGAGCAACACCCUGCAAUUCUAUGGGCUACCUCAUGAGAAUCCAAACACGCAUAUCUCUAAAUUUCUUAGAAACUGUCAGAACUUUCAUACUCCGGGGAUCAAUGAAGAUGCUAUUAAAUUAAAACUAUUCCCGUUUACAUUGAAAGAUGUUGCAUUGGAGUGGUUAGAUGCUGAGCCUCACGCCAGCAUUACAACAUGGGAAGAACUAACCAGGAAG
rnacentral:lncRNA from 1 species